GAUGAACGCUGGCGGCGUGCCUAAUACAUGCAAGUCGAGCGAACAGACGAGGAGCUUGCUCCUCUGACGUUAGCGGCGGACGGGUGAGUAACACGUGGAUAACCUACCUAUAAGACUGGGAUAACUUUGGGAAACCGGAGCUAAUACCGGAUAAUAUAUUGAACCGCAUGGUUCAAUAGUGAAAGACGGUUUUGCUGUCACUUAUAGAUGGAUCCGCGCCGCAUUAGCUAGUUGGUAAGGUAACGGCUUACCAAGGCGACGAUGCGUAGCCGACCUGAGCGGGUGAUCGGCCACACUGGCACUGAGACACGGUCCAGACUCCUACGGGAGGCAGCAGUAGGGAAUCUUCCGCAAUGGGCGAAAGCCUGACGGAGCAACGCCGCGUGAGUGAUGAAGGUCUUCGGAUCGUAAAACUCUGUUAUUAGGGAAGAACAAAUGUGUAAGUAACUAUGCACGUCUUGACGGUACCUAAUCAGAAAGCCACGGCUAACUACGUG
rnacentral:rRNA from 1 species